rnacentral:rRNA from 1 species
AUUGAACGCUGGCGGCAUGCUUUACACAUGCAAGUCGAACGAGUGGCGCACGGGUGAGUAACGCAUCGGACCGUCCCGAGUAAGGGGGGAUAACUGGGCGAAAGGACCGCUAAUACCGCAUAUUCUUCGGGCGGCAGAUGUCUGAUUCGCUUGUUGGCGGGGUAAAGGCUCACCUAGGCGACGAUCAGUAGCGGGUCUGAGAGGAUGAUCAGCCACACUGGGACUGAGACACGGCCCAGACUCCUACGGGAGGCAGCAGUGGGGAAUUUUGGACAAUGGGCGCAAGCCUGAUACAGCCAUGCCGCGUGUAUGAAGAAGGCCUUCGGGUUGUAAAGUACUUUUGGCAGGGAAGCGGUACCUGAAGAAUAAGCACCGGCUAACUACGUGCCAGCAGCCGCGGUAAUAC